rnacentral:rRNA from 1 species
UGAUUAAUAGGGAUAGUUGGGGGCAUUCGUAUUCAAUUGUCGGAGGUGAAAUUCUUGGAUUUAUNCGAACNACGAACUACUGCGAAAGCAUUUGCCAAGGAUGUUUUCAUUGAUCAAGAACGAAGGUUAGGGGAUCGAAAACGAUCAGAUACCGUUGUAGUCUUAACAGUAAACGAUGCCGACUAGGGAUCGGAUGAGAUUUUUAAUGACUCAUUCGGCACCUGAAGAGAAAUCUUUAAGUCAGGUUCGGGGGGGAGUAUGGUCGCAAGGCUGAAACUUAAAGGAAUUGACGGAAGGGCACCACCAGGUGUGGAGCCUGCGGCUUAAUUUGACUCAACACGGGGAAACUCACCAGGUCCAGACACGACAAGGAUUGACAGAUUGAUAGCUCUUUCUUGAUUUCGUGGGUGGUGGUGCAUGGCCGUUCUUAGUUGGUGGAGUGAUUUGUCAGCUUANUNGCGAUAACGAACGAGACCUUAACCUGCUAAAUAGCCCGUAUUGCUUUGGCAGUACGCCGGCUUCUUAGAGGGACUAUCGGCUCAAGCCGAUNGAAGUUUGAGGCAAUAACAGGUCUGUGAUGCCCUUANAUGUUCUGGGCCGCACGCGCGCUACACUGACAGAGCCAGCGAGUACUCCCNUGGCCGGAAGGUCCGGNUAAUCUUGUUNAACUCUGUCGUGCUGGGGAUAGGGCAUUGCAAUA